rnacentral:lncRNA from 1 species
UGAGUAACUGAGACCACAAGCAUGCACCACCAUACCAGGUAAGAAGAAAAAGUUAGCACUACAAUGCUAUAGUCACAUUUAUGUUUUUGUUUUCACACGCACUUCAUAUCUAAGACUCAGUGGGCCUCACCAAGAAACAAAGAAUUUGCUCUAUCCUCAACGUUGCAAAAUGUCUGGGCAUAGGCUGUGUUGCAUUUCUCACGUACAGUAUGAGCAGAGAAGCUUACCCAUUCUGUUGCAGCAGGUCCAGAGAAGUCUCACUGAAGUGCUUUGGUUUUUAUUGAAUUGCAUGCUUAUUAUGUCUGGACAAGAAGAUGUGUACAUGAAGAGGAUGUUUUGAUAGGCCUGACCUGAGAGCUGUAUGCUCACAAUAAAAGCUAGAGACACAGUCAUUUGACAUUAAAACAACUGAGAAAAGAUGAUGAAUCUUGAGAAGAAAUUGGGAUAUUAUGUACAAAAGAGGCGUUAUAAUACUUUAUGGCCAAAACGAAAACAAAAGAAAAAAAAAGCAAGAAAACAAACAAAAUCAAAAAACAAAAAAACUAGCAAUGUUCCACCAUAAAGUUUAAAUGGAUCUUACUUUGGUUCAGACUUUAGAAACGAUUGACAUCUGGGUUAUGUAUAUUUCACUUCCCACGUUCUGCACGGUAAUCUUCUAAACUUUAGCAACUUAUCUUAUUAAUUCCUUUAGGCUUGAUAUGAAGCCUGCCCCAGAUAAGUGCCUCAUAAAAGAAGAAUAAACAAAUGAAUGAAUAAAAGCAAAUGCCAUACUAUAGACUUUUGAGUAAAAAGAUUUUCUCUACAACAUAUUAAAAGAAUGAACCAGCAGAACAAACUUCAAACUUUAAAACAAUGUUGUUUAAGUUAGUCAUGUCUGAGAUGAUAAAUAAAUCAACAGGAGAAAAGUGAACUUCAAAACAUGUAUCUUUAGGAGGAUUUGAAUUGGAAAACCACUGACACUUAAUUGCUAAAGUGACUUUGACUAGUUAUUCAUCUAUGGAAUAGGAAGAAAACUUACUUGAUCGUGUUGGCAUGAUGAUUAAACAUGACUUAUGUACAUGCAAGUGCUGAGCACUAGUCUAUAACCUCUAUGGGCAUUGCGAUCACUAUGACAUAUCCAGAGACUAGCUCAAUUUCUAGUACAUUGGAGGCACUUGAUAAAUGUUUCCUUAAUUUGAAAUCUGAGAACAGGACAUUAAGUUCUUUCACAUUAGAUCCAGCAGUUGAGAUACAUUUUGCUUGUGC